CCUACGGGUGGCAGCAGUGGGGAAUAUUGGACAAUGGGGGAAACCCUGAUCCAGCGACGCCGCGUGAGUGAAGAAGUAUUUCGGUACGUAAAGCUCUAUUAGCAGGAAAGAAAAUGACGGUACCUGACUAAGAAGCCCCGGCUAACUACGUGCCAGCAGCCGCGGUAAUACGUAGGGGGCAAGCGUUAUCCGGAUUUACUGGGUGUAAAGGGAGCGUAGGCGGGAGCGCAAGUCUGGGGUGAAAUGCCGGGGCUCAACCCCGGAACUGCUCUGGAAACUGUGAAGCUGGAGUGCAGGAGAGGUAAGCGGAAUGCCUGGUGUAGCGGUGAAAUGUGUAGAUAUCAGGAGGAACACCGGCGGCGAAGGCGGCUUACUGGACUGUAACUGACGUUGAGGCUCGAAGGCGUGGGGAGCAAACAGGAUUAGAUACCCUGGUAGUC
rnacentral:rRNA from 1 species